rnacentral:rRNA from 1 species
UACGUAGGGUGCGAGCGUUAAUCGGAAUUACUGGGCGUAAAGCGUGCGCAGGCGGUCUGUUAAGACAGAUGUGAAAUCCCCGGGCUUAACCUGGGAACUGCGUUUGAAACUGGGAGGCUCGAGUGCGGCAGAGGGGGGUGGAAUUCCACGUGUAGCAGUGAAAUGCGUAGAUAUGUGGAGGAACACCGAUGGCGAAGGCAGCCCCCUGGGCCUGCACUGACGCUCAUGCACGAAAGCGUGGGGAGCAAACAGG